rnacentral:rRNA from 1 species
ACAUGGCUCUUUGAGAUUUAUAUAUAAAGAGUCGGGCCUGCCCAGUGAUGUAUUUUUAACGGCCGCGGUACUCUGACCGUGCGAAGGUAGCAUAAUCAUUUGCCCUAUAAUUGAGGGCUAGUAUGAAUGGUUUGACAUGAGCAUAACUGUCUCCUUAAAAUUUUAUAAAAUUUGGUUUUUAGGUGAAGAAACCUAAAUUAAAUUGAAAGACAAGAAGACCCUAUCGAGCUUUAGAAUAAUUAGUUAAAAAAUAUAAAUAAAACAAUUAAUUUUAAUUAAAAACUUUGGUUGGGGCGACUGAGGAACAUAUAAAGCUUCCUUAAUUAAACAAUGCUGAUAAGCAAUGAUCCAGGAAAUCUGAUUAAAAAAAUUAGUUACCGUAGGGAUAACAGCAUAAUCUUUUUUGAGAGCUCUUAUCGAAAAAAAGGUUUGUGACCUCGAUGUUGGACUAGGAUAUCCUAAAGAUGUAGAAGUCUUUAAUGGUUGCUCUGUUCGAGCAUAAAAAUCCUACGUG